CUUGGCUCAUCUGAAGAAUGAAGGCCUCUCUGUGUUAGCAGGACUCCUCGUGCUUUUUCUGUUGAUCCGUAGUUUGGAUAACUUGUCUGUCAACUGUGCUAAAAACUGGCUCCAGGUCAAAGUGAGACGAACGCCGUUUGUGGAUGAGCUGCUACCCCAGGUUCAUGAGCUCUUUCUCGGAGAUGGCUGCCCCGUCACCACAGAGCUGCCUGAUUCCUUUGAGUUCCUUUACAGUCUUACUACUUGUGGCAUCAGGACUUACGAAAGCUCAUGGGGCAUUCUCAUUGAAAGCUCAGUCACAUAUGAAUCUUUGUUUAUAAACAGAGGAGGUGUCAUCCCAGUGCUGUGCUUUGUUAAAAGAAAUGAUCCAUUCACCUUUGGGGAAGAAGACAUAGAAAGUGAUAAUGAAACAACUGGGGAAAACGCCCAAGGGCCAGGCAGACAGAAGAACACAGCACCACCGGAAGCACCAUCCUUGGAGCCCCCUCCAGGAAUACCAAGCAAGUGAGUCGUCUUUUGACUUAGUACUAUCAAUGCUUUCCAAGGCACAAAAAAGCAAAGGUUCAGUAC
ensembl:lncRNA